rnacentral:rRNA from 1 species
UACGGGGGGGGCAAGCGUUGUUCGGAAUUACUGGGCGUAAAGGGCUCGUAGGCGGGCUCGCAAGUCCGGGGUGAAAGCCCCCAGCUCAACUGGGGAAGCGCCUUGGAUACUGCGGGCCUCGAGGGGGGUAGGGGCGUGCGGAACUUCCGGUGGAGCGGUGAAAUGCGUAGAUAUCGGAAGGAACACCGGUGGCGAAAGCGGCGCGCUGGACCCCUUCUGACGCUGAGGCGCGAAAGCCAGGGGAGCAAACGGG